rnacentral:rRNA from 1 species
UAGUUCGAUUCUGGCUCAGGAUGAACGCUGGCGGCAUGCCUAAUACAUGCAAGUCGAACGGAGUGAAGCCUUCGGGUUUCAUUCAGUGGCGAACGGGUGAGUAAUACGCAGGGAACCUGGCCAUAGCAGGGGGAUACACUCUGGAAACGGAGCAUAAGACCCCAUAGGCAGUAAGGCGGCAUCGCCUUACUGUUAAAGAAAGCUGAAAGGCUUUGGCGAUGGAUGGACCUGCGGUGCAUUAGCUUGUUGGUGAGGCAACGGCUUACCAAGGCGAUGAUGCAUAGCCGGCCUGAGAGGGCGGACGGCCACACUGGGACUGAGACACGGCCCAGACUCCUGCGGGAGGCAGCAGUAGGGAAUUUUCGUCAAUGGGCGCAAGCCUGAACGAGCAAUGCCGCGUGAGUGAGGAAGGUCUUCGGACUGUAAAGCUCUGUUGCCGGGGAAAAAGGGGAAAUGCAGGAAAUGGCAUUUCAUGGAUGGUACCCGGCCAGAAAGCCACGGCUAACUACGUGCCAGCAGCCGCGGUAAUACGUAGGUGGCGAGCGUUAUCCGGAAUGAUUGGGCGUAAAGGGUGCGCAGGCGGUCUGUUAAGUCUGAAGGCAAAGGGAUGAGCUCAACUCAUUUAUGAUUCAGAAACUGGCAGACUUGAGGACAGGAGAGGGCGGUGGAACUCCAUGUGUAGCGGUAAAAUGCGCAGAGAUAUGGAAGAACACCAGUGGCGAAGGCGGCCGCCUGGCCUGUGACUGACGCUGAGGCACGAAAGCGUGGGGAGCAAAUAGGAUUAGAUACCCUAGUAGUCCACGCCGUAAACGAUGAGGAGCAGGUGUUGGGAGUGAAAUCUCAGUGCCGAAGCCAACGCAGUGACUCCUCCGCCUGGGGAGUAUGCACGCAAGUGUGAAACUCAAAGGAAUUGACGGGGGCCCGCACAAGCGGUGGAGUAUGUGGUUUAAUUCGAAGCAACGCGAAGAACCUUACCAGGUUUUGACAUCGGAUGCGAAGGCGCAGAGAUGCGCUGGAGGCUAUCAUCCAGACAGGUGGUGCAUGGUUGUCGUCAGCUCGUGCCGUGAGAUGUUCAGUUAAGUCUGGCAACGAGCGCAACCCCCGUGGUAUGUUACUAACGCAUUUGGGCGAGGACUCAUAUCAGACUGCCGGUGACAAACCGGAGGAAGGCGGGGAUGACGUCAAAUCAUCAUGCCCCUUAUGACCUGGGCUACACACGUACUACAAUGGCGUCUACAGAGGGAAGCGACCCUGAGAAGGGAAGCGAAACCGGAAAAGGGCGUCCCAGUUCGGAUUGAAGUCUGCAACCCGACUUCAUGAAGAUGGAAUCGCUAGUAAUCGCGGAUCAGCAUGCCGCGGUGAAUACGUUCCCGGGCCUUGUACACACCGCCCGUCAAACCAUGGAAGCCGGCAACGCCCGAAGCCGGUGGCAUAACCUUUUAGGAGUGAGCCGUCGAAGGCGGGGCCGAUGACUGGGGUUAAGUCGUAACAAGGUACCC